GACGGAGGGGGCUAGCGUUGUUCGGAAUGACUGGGCGUAAAGGGCGCGUAGGCGGUUUUUUAAGUGAGGCGUGAAAGCCCUGGGCUUAACCCAGGAAUUGCGCUUCAGACUGGAAGACUUGAGUACGAGAGAGGUAAGUGGAAUUCCUAGUGUAGAGGUGAAAUUCGUAGAUAUUAGGAAGAACACCAGUGGCGAAGGCGGCUUACUGGCUCGUAACUGACGCUGAGGCGCGAAAGCGUGGGGAG
rnacentral:rRNA from 1 species